GCUUGCUUGGUGGACUUGGGGCUAUUUUAAGUCUAGAAGGAAAGCAGUCACUUUUAGAUGGAACAAACAGCUUCAAAAGCUUUUCUGUGCUCAGAAAAUUGCAGAUGAGUCAGAUCUGAAAAAAAGGAGCACCUCAUUUCAGGCCAGACGGAGGAGUCCACGGCACAAAUCCUAAAGAGGGCAGCAGAAUCCAGCCCACACCUCCUGCCUGUUGCCAGCUGAAGCACGCCGGUGCUGCUAAUUGAACGUGCUUUAUGUACGAGUGCUGUUCAGUACAUGCAUCCAGGACGCGCGGCGUAUCGUUCGGUGAUAUACAAACCGACUGGGACAAUUUACAAUGGUGAUUUUUCUACUGACGGGUCUGCAAGAUUAUGAUUAGGAAAUCAGGCUAACUGCACAGCUGGGAAGAUGGUCAUCACAUUCCUCCUGUCCGAAUGGCCCGGACCCACCAGUAGUUUCUGCUGAUGGAAAGCCACAGAGCUCGGAACUGCCUCUGGAGGGAAAAAAGGAGGAAGUGAGAUACAAUAACUGUGAUUUCUGAGAAACUUUGCAAGGAAAUGAAACAAUAACAGAGAAGACCAUCAGCAGUUCCAGGCAGUACGUUGCUGGUUUUUUAAGAACUUAUGGUCAUUAUGGAAGAUAAAUGACAGUCCUUGGAGCUCAUGGCUGAAGUACACAUUAGUCACUGGUAAAUGAUGUAUAAAAAAUAUUCAGCUUGCAAAAAGAUAAUGGUGGUUCCUAUUUGAAAAUGCAGAAAAAUGCACAUAUCUGGAGCACAAAAGUGUCUCAUCAAUAUCUCUGUGGGUAGAAAACUAACCUGUCAAGAGGAAAAUGUUGGGGAGAUGAAGAUAUUUAUGCACGUACUGCACUGAUCAUAAUGAUGUAAAGGACUAUUAAAGCAAACUUAAAAUAUUAGAUACUGCAAAUAUACAACUUAAUUUUUUUUUUUUUUUUUUUUUUUCCCAUGCAACCUAGGAAUGCUCUAAGAAAUUUUGAUAAGGAAUUGCUCAUUCUACAUCUUUGACUGCCAGUGAUCCUACCUUUCCCCAUUUCACUGUUACCUAUAAGUUAAGUAGUUAUUCUGGAUUUGAUCUUUUAUUAAUGGCAAAGUCCUUCAUUCAUUGCAGUGCUGGGACUUGAAAGCAGGGAAGACCAGAGGAAAGAGUCUGUUUUGGUAACUGGUAUUGCCAGGACUGUAGCAGCAUCAGUGACAUGGAGAUACAGUGACCUUAUGCCUACAGUCCUCUCUGGCUGCCUUCUCCUAGACGAUGAUCAUAAAAUCAUAGAAUAAUCAAGGUUGGAAAUGACUAAAUGAUGGUCAUCAUUUGAUGACUAAAGAUCAUCUAUUCCAACCGUUGACCCAUCACCACCAUGAUGAUUCCCAGGUGUAAUUGGUGCCUUAUUACAGGGAAAAUCUCACUGCCUUCCAGGAAGGGGGCAAUUUUGCCACUUUCUCAGCGUGAUUAUCUCAUUUUAGGACUCCAGUCUCAAGAUUUUGGUUAGCAGCAGACCUUGCUGAGAACCACAUCUCAGUGCCAGGCUCUGUGUGCCAUAGCUGCUAUGGUGAAGGAAGCAGCAGCCAGGAGAGGAGUAUUUAAUUUCUAGUCUCUGCUCCAGAUCUGUUUCUCCUGUGACACUUCACUGAAUCAAUUCAACACACUCCUCUGGAAGAAAACAGAUAUGUAUUUUACACAUACAUAACAAAAGGUAUUAAAGUAGCUUCAUUUUCUGAUAGUGUUCUGGUUCUGCAAAAUACCAUCUGAGAACCAGGAUAAGUGAAGGCAAACAGCAGGAGCAUAAGAAAGAGAAUGGUGGAAACUAAAUGACUGGGGGAAAAAAGUGAUAGGAUGGACCAUCUCUUCCCAAAGCACUGAACCCUUGCCUUUGAGAAGUCAUUAAAAUCAUUGAAACACUGGCACAGGUUGCCCAGAGAGGUGGUGGAUGUUCCAUCCCUCAAGGUGAGGAUGGACAGGGCUGUGAGUGCCUGACUGAGCUGUAGGUGUCCCUGUUCAUUGCAGGGGGGUUGGACUGAAUGGCCUUGAAAAUCCCUUCCAACUCAAUUGAUUCUAUCCAAGUUCAAGGCAGGGAAACACUGCCAUGGAGCUGGGUGUGCCAGCAGGA